AGCAGCCACACCACCAUCAAUUAGGUUGAAUUCAUUUUCAUUAUUUUGAGCAUCCUUGGUCUUGAAACUAUGGGCAGGUAGAAAUGUUGGCGCUGCCGAGGUACCAAUGCAAAUGUCCGCUAGUUCCGCAUCCAAAACAGUACUAUUAAGGGGUAUAGAAGACACCUCAUAUGAGCUGAAGAUGACAGGCUGAAGUUCCUUGAUGUCAAAAGUUGGGAUUACGACGGCAGUUAAGGUAUCAUGCAACCUGGUACCUCCUAGGAGUCCCUUUAUAAGUGUGUGAAGAUACUUCCCAUCAUAUUUUGGUCUGUUCAACAUUUUUGUUAGAUUUAUCGCCCCACCAAAUGGUCCACUGCAAAAAUCCAAAAUCAAGAGAUGUGUAUUUUAAGGGUGUGGUCUAAUAACCAAAAAGAAAAAUCAAGAACUAUAUGUAUAAAAAAAAUUUAGGUAGCAUGGUUUACCCAAUCUGA